rnacentral:rRNA from 1 species
GACAGGGCCCAGACUCCUACGGGAGGCACCAGUGGGGAAUAUUGCACAAUGGGAUACGGAAGCCUGAUGCAGCGACGCCGCGUGAGGGAUGGAGGCCUUCGGGUUGUGAACCGCUUUCGCCAGUGAAGAAGGCGCUCCUCGUUGUGGGGGUGUUGACGGUAGCUCCAUAAGAAGCGCCGGCUAACUACGUCCGAGCAGCCGCGGUAAUACGUAGGGCGCGAGCGUUGUCCGGAAUUAUUGGGCGUAAAGAGCUCGUAGGUGGUCGCGCUCGGCCGUGCGGUCCUCUGGCUUAACUGGGGGCGCGCGGUGGGUAAGGGCCGGCUUAAGUGGGGUAGGCGAGACUGGAACUAAUGGUGUAGCGGUGGAAUGCGCAGAUAUCAGGAAGUACACCGGUGGCGAAGGCGGGUCUCUGGGCCGUUACUGACGCUGUGGAGCCAAAGCGUGGGGAGCGUAACAGGAUUAGAGAGUAUGGAACUCCACGUUGUAAACGUUGGGCUCUAGGUGUGGGGGCUCUUUCCGGGGUCUCCGCGCCGUAGCUAACGCAUUAAGUGCCCCGCCUGGGGAUGCCGGCCGCAAGGCUAAAACUCUUAGGAAUUGACGUUGGCCCGCACAAGCGGCGGAGCAUGCGGAUUAA